rnacentral:rRNA from 1 species
CCUAAGGGAGGCUGCAGUGAGGAAUCUUGGUCAAUGGACGCAAGUCUGAUCCUGCCAUGCCGCGUGCAGGAAGGCGGCUCUAUGAGUUGUAAACUGCUUUUGUACGAGGGUAAACGCAGAUACGCGUAUCUGUCUGAAAGUAUCGUACGAAUAAGGAUCGGCGAACUCCGUGCCAGCAGCCGUGGUAAUACGGAGGAUUCAAGCGUUAUCCGGAUGUAUUGGGUUUAAAGGGUGCGUAGGCGGUCGGAUAAGUUAGGGGUGAAAUCCCGAGGCUCAACUUCGGAAUUGCCUCUGAUACUGUUAGGCUAGAGAGUAGUUGCGGUAGGCGGAAUGUAUGGUGUAGCGGUGAAAUGCUUAGAGAUCAUACAGAACACCGAUGGCGAAGGCAGGUUACCAAGCUACUUCUGACGUUGAGGCACGAAAGCGUGGGGAGCAAACAGGAUUAGAUACCCGUGUAGUC